rnacentral:rRNA from 1 species
AGUGAACGCUGGCGGUAGGCCUAACACAUGCAAGUCGAACGGCAGCACAGUAAGAGCUUGCUCUUACGGGUGGCGAGUGGCGGACGGGUGAGGAAUACAUCGGAAUCUACUUUUUCGUGGGGGAUAACGUAGGGAAACUUACGCUAAUACCGCAUACGACCUACGGGUGAAAGCAGGGGAUCUUCGGACCUUGCGCGAUUGAAUGAGCCGAUGUCGGAUUAGCUAGUUGGCGGGGUAAAGGCCCACCAAGGCGACGAUCCGUAGCUGGUCUGAGAGGAUGAUCAGCCACAGUGGAAAUGAGACACGGUCCGGCCUCCUCCGGGAGGAACAAGGGGGGAAUAUUGGACAAGGGGCGCAAGCCUGACCCACCCAUCCCGCGUGGGUGAAGAGGGCCUUCGGUUUGUAACGCCCUUUUGUGGGGAAAAAAAAGCAGCAGGUAAAUACCCCCCUGUUCGGAGGGUCCCAAAAAAAAAAACCCCGGCAAACUUCGUC